rnacentral:rRNA from 1 species
AAUCAACGCUGGCGGCGUGCCUAACACAUGCAAGUCGCACGAGAAAGGGGAGCAAUCCCUGAGUAAAGUGGCGCACGGGUGAGUAACACGUGAAUCAUCUACCUCCGAGUGGGGAAUAACUGAGAGAAAUCUUAGCUAAUACCGCAUAACACUUACGAGUCAAAGCAGCAAUGCGCUUGGAGAGGAGUUCGCGGCCGAUUAGUUAGUUGGCGGGGUAANGGCCACCAAGACGAUGAUCGGUAUCCGGCCUGAGAGGGCGCACGGACACACUGGAACUGAAACACGGUCCAGACUCCUACGGGAGGCAGCAGUGGGGAAUUUUGCGCAAUGGGGGAAACCCGUGACGCAGCAACGCCGCGUGGAGGAUGAAGUAUCUUGGUACGUAACUCUUCGAUGGAAGAUAUGACGUACCAAUAGAAGAAGCCCCGGCUAACUUCGUGCCAG